rnacentral:rRNA from 1 species
AAGGCCUUCGGGUUGUAAAGCUCUUUCGUCCGCGACGAUGAUGACGGUAGCGGAAGAAGAAGCCCCGGCUAACUUCGUGCCAGCAGCCGCGGUAAUACGAAGGGGGCUAGCGUUGUUCGGAAUUACUGGGCGUAAAGGGCGCGUAGGCGGCUUUGUAAGUCGGGGGUGAAAGCCUGUGGCUCAACCACAGAAUUGCCUUCGAUACUGCAUGGCUUGAGACCGGAAGAGGUAAGUGGAACUGCGAGUGUAGAGGUGAAAUUCGUAGAUAUUCGCAAGAACACCAGUGGCGAAGGCAGGUCUCUGGGCAUUAACUGACGCUGAGGAGCGAAAGCAUGGGGAGCGAACAGGAUUAGAUACCCUGGUAGUCCAUGCCGUAAACGUUGGGCACUAGGUGUGGGGGACAUUCCACGUUUUCCGCGCCGUAGCUAACGCAUUAAGUGCCCCGCCUGGGGAGUACGGCCGCAAGGCUAAAACUCAAAGGAAUUGACGGGGGCCCGCACAAGCGGCGGAGCAUGCGGAUUAAUUCGAUGCAACGCGAAGAACCUUACCAAGGCUUGACAUGGACCGGACCGCCGCAGAGAUGUGGUUUCUCCUUUUGGGGCCGGUUCACAGGUGGUGCAUGGUUGUCGUCAGCUCGUGUCGUGAGAUGUUGGGUUAAGUCCCGCAACGAGCGCAACCCUCGUUCCAUGUUGCCAGCGCGUAAUGG